AACGAACGCUGGCGGCGUGCUUAACACAUGCAAGUCGAACGUGAAAGGCUUCGGCCGAGUAAAGUGGCGCACGGGUGAGUAACGCGUGGGUAAUCUGCCCUUGGGCGGGGGAUAACCUCUCGAAAGGGGGGCUAAUACCGCAUGAGACCACGGCUUCUCGGGGCUGUGGGAAAAGGUGGGUCGCAAGGCCUGCCACCUGAGGAUGAGCCCGCGUACCAUUAGGUCGUUGGUGGGGUAAUGGCCUACCAAGCCGAAGAUGGUUAGCUGGUCUGAGAGGACGAUCAGCCACACUGGGACUGAGACACGGCCCAGACUCCUACGGGAGGCAGCAGUGGGGAAUAUUGCGCAAUGGGGGAAACCCUGACGCAGCAACGCCGCGUGUGUGAAGAAGGCCUUCGGGUCGUAAAGCACUGUUGGGAGGAACGAGCCGCUCGUGGGGAAUAUCUGCGAGCCCGACGGUACCUCCUGAGGAAGCACCGGCUAACUCCGUGCCAGCAGCCGCGGUAAUGUAGUCG
rnacentral:rRNA from 1 species